GACGAACGCUGGCGGCGUGCUUAACACAUGCAAGUCGAACGGAAAGGCCCUGCUUUUGUGGGGUGCUCGAGUGGCGAACGGGUGAGUAACACGUGAGUAACCUGCCCUUGACUAUGGGAUAACUUCAGGAAACUGGGGCUAAUACCGGAUAGGAGCUCCUGCUGCAUGGUGGGGGUUGGAAAGUUUCGGCGGUUGGGGAUGGACUCGCGGCUUAUCAGCUUGUUGGUGGGGUAGUGGCUUACCAAGGCUUUGACGGGUAGCCGGCCUGAGAGGGUGACCGGCCACAUUGGGACUGAGAUACGGCCCAGACUCCUACGGGAGGCAGCAGUGGGGAAUAUUGCACAAUGGGCGGAAGCCUGAUGCAGCAACGCCGCGUGCGGGAUGACGGCCUUCGGGUUGUAAACCGCUUUCGCCUGUGACGAAGCGUGAGUGACGGUAAUGGGUAAAGAAGCACCGGCUAACUACGU
rnacentral:rRNA from 1 species